GAUGAACGCUGGCGGCGUGCCUAAUACAUGCAAGUCGAGCGAACAGACGAGGAGCUUGCUCCUCUGACGUUAGCGGCGGACGGGUGAGUAACACGUGGAUAACCUACCUAUAAGACUGGGAUAACUUCGGGAAACCGGAGCUAAUACCGGAUAAUAUAUUGAACCGCAUGGAUCAAUAGUGAAAGACGGUUUUGCUGUCACUUAUAGAUGGAUCCGCGCCGCAUUAGCUAGUUGGUAAGGUAACGGCUUACCAAGGCAACGAUGCGUAGCCGACCUGAGAGGGUGAUCGGCCACACUGGAACUGAGACACGGUCCAGACUCCUACGGGAGGCAGCAGUAGGGAAUCUUCCGCAAUGGGCGAAAGCCUGACGCAGCAACGCCGCGUGAGUGAUGAAGGUCUUCGGAUCGUAAAGCUCUGUUAUUAGGGAAGAAAAAAUGUGUAAGUAACUAUGCACGUCUUGACGGUACCUAAUCAGAAAGCCACGGCUAACUACGUG
rnacentral:rRNA from 1 species